CUUUCUCUAAAGGCACUGGUGAACCAGUUAAUCUUGAUGACUGUGAUGCUUUCAGAUAAUUUGAGUGGAAGGCAUUUAGGAGGAAAGCACUUUUCUUGUGCAUGCUGAGAGGGCGGACAUGCUGGGGGAGGUGGCCUGAUAACUCUCAGCUAAUCUCAGGACCAAGAGAAUGGCAAGAUCCCUGUGACAGUUCUGUUUAUAGCACUUCACUUCUAGCAGUUUGUGUGCCGUGGCAAGUCUUCACUGAGAGCCUCAUGAGUUCACAGAUUCCAGCAGAAGCGAACCAGACACUAACCUCCCCAGGAUAAUAACUGCAGGAGGAAAACAAAAAUUCUCUAUUAGGGUCUAUGACUUCUCCUUCAGAAGCGGAUGAAUGUUAGCUGAUCCUUAGAGGGUGAAAUUUAAGUCACUGAUAAAAUCUUACUUCAGUGUGACUGAGUUGUUCCUCAGGGUUUUUAUAGAUGGUUAUUAACUAAGUCACCCAACAGAGAGGUUGGUUUUUAUCACUUUUAAAGGAACUUCUGCCCAAGCCAUUGAGCUUACUAAAGGCUACUUAAAUAAGCUGUUUGUAGUUGCUGCUGAUUGUUUCCUGCUGUUUAUGUAAUGGACUAAAUAUAUUUAUAAAACCAGUUUCUGUUCACCUGUGACUAGCAUUAAUGCAUUUGGUUAUUUUACUUCCCUUACCACUGUCUUGUAACUCUGAACAGACUAAUAUGUGUUGUAGUCUGCUUUCCAACUUCACUGCACGUUCAGUUUUGCCUUCUUUUAGCAGGCUCCCCCCCAAAUCAUGUAACCCACAGCUUGUCUUACAUUUUCCAUUUCCAGCAAGUUUGUAGAUAUUUGUAAAGAUUUGCAACACAACACACACACACAUACAGACACACAAACACUUUUUCCUUGCUGGCAAUCCUUGUACUUUAUUCUGCAUUUCUAAUUUUUCUUUAGCGUUUGUACAUAACUGUACAGUAAAAUAUAGAAGGAUAAGGAGGAACGCUUAGAGGUUAUUGAAGAAGGUUGUUAUCGAAUAAGAAGGUUAUUGCCUAUGCUAUUUGAUAUUCUGUAUAAUUUGAUCAGGAUGAGCAUAUUCAUUGCUCAGUUUUAGAUGCUGCAAGUAUUGCUACUCGCAUCAUGUAUUAGCUCUCUUUAUAGAAGAUUGCAUCUUCUCUCUCCAGAAAGCGAGAAUUUCAUGGACGUUUUGACUGUUUAUAUGAUAAUGCAGCAAAUAAACUGGACAACUACAGAAAUAAAUAAGGAUUC
rnacentral:lncRNA from 1 species